rnacentral:rRNA from 1 species
GACAGAGGUUGCAAACGUUGUUCGGAAUCACUGGGCAUAAAGCGCACGUAGGCGGCUAACUAAGUCAGGUGUGAAAUCCCCCGGCUCAACCGGGGAACUGCGCCUGAUACUGGUUGGCUUGAGAACGGUAGGGGUGAGUUGAACUCCAGGUGGAGCGGUGAAAUGCGUAGAUAUCUGGAGGAACACCGGUGGCGAAAGCGGCUCACUGGACCGUAACCGACGCUGAGGUGCGAAAGCUAGGGUAGCAAACGGG